AGGGAUUGAACUUCAAGCAGAGGCUCUGGGCUGGACUAGUGCACCCUUUCAAGUAACUGCUCCCGAAGACGAUCUGUGGUUUCUGUCUCGUGGGAGGACCUUCGUGGUACCAAGCACCACACAUGACUUAAUGAAUAAGGCUUCCAAAUGACAAAGAAUCUAUCCCAAACUAUCAUCACAUCCUUUCUGCUAAGCCAGAGGCAGGCAGGUGAUGCCAUUGAAGCUGACAGAGUCAAGGCCUGUCUGUGUUGUUGACAGGAGCCCUCUUCAUGACAGUCUGGGAUUCCUCCUACCCAUAGUACAUGACACUCCCUGCAGUUGCUGAUCCAAAGAGCACACCUUGGGGACACUGAUCUGAGAGAAUUGUUCAGACUGCCUGCUCACUGUCAUU
rnacentral:lncRNA from 1 species